GAUGAAGAACGCAGCGAAAUGCGAUAAGUAAUGUGAAUUGCAGAAUUCAGUGAAUCAUCGAAUCUUUGUACGCACAUUGCGCCCGCCAGUAUUCUGGCGAGCAUGCCUGUUCGAGCGUCAUUUCAACCAUCAAGCCCCAGGCUUGUGUUGGAGCCCUGCGGCUGCCGCAGCCUCCCAAAACCAGUGGCGGGCUCGCUAUCACACCGAGUGCAGUAGUUUACUCUUCGCUCAGGGCGUGUGGCGGGUGCUAGCCGUGAAACCCCCAACUUCUCAAGGUUGACCUCGGAUCAGGUAGGAAUACCCGCUGAACUUAAGCAUAUCAAUAAGCGGAGGA
rnacentral:misc_RNA from 1 species